ACAAGAAAGAGGAGGGGCAUGGAGGGAGAUAUUAUCCUGUUAUCAGAGCAGCAUCCUUGGUGGUGUACCCAGGAAUCUUUGCAGUGUUUUUCAAAAUGAUGAAACCGCAUCAAAGCUUCCUGUUCUAUGACGGACUCUGGCUGGACUGAAGAAGACGCAUGGUUUCGAUCCUUCAACAACAACGGAUCCUUCAACCACAAGAGGCAUUGCAUUGCCACUACGGCUGUGGAUGUCAAUUGAAUGACAUCUUGCGCAAUGUAACGGGAGUGCUUAUGGUCAAUCUGAAUGAUUCCUAUAGAAUCAAUUUAGAAAUAAUUUCAGAACAAUCUGAGAUGGUGUGUUUCAUGGCUUGCUGAAAUGACAAGGAAUGACCCAAUAGCUAAACAGAAUGUUAUCUGCCUGAAGGCCUAAAAAACAGGAUCCGGCAAGAAGUCAACAAAUGAUAGCGCCUGAGUAAUGGAAGUGGACCUGGGGGCUACAGGGCCUGGGUUAUCCUCUACAUCACCAGAGGAACAGAGGAGGAGUAGGAUAAAGAGCUUCUGCCUUCUGCUCGCGAGAGUUUUCUGUCCGACAAACUGCUAUGAGGCCGGUGGUUCCUGGUCCCCUACCCGAUGCUAUCCCCACGACAUCACCCCCAAUUCCCCUGGACAUGGAGGGGAGUCAGGGAUAUUUUAUCAGAUCCCUACUGGACUCCCGGCGUUGUGGGGGUCGGCUCCAGUACCUGGUGGACUGGGAGGGGUAUGGCCCAUACGAGCGGUGUUGGGUUCCGGUUGAGGACAUUCUGGAUCCCAACAUCAUCCAUGAUUUCCACCUUUGCCGCCCGGGACAUGUCAGAGGGGGGGUCACUGUCACGUCUAGUCCUUCUCCUCCACUCCAGCGUUCGACAUUGCCUGACUGCUAACCACUGUUCCUGGGAUUCAUCAUUACGCACACCUGUUUAUCAUUAUGAUUCACACCUGGACUCCAUGACCUUCCUCAUUACUUCACAUUCAUCUGUCCCUCUCUUACGUUUGUUCCUCAGUCACUAUUGUUUCUAUGCUUUUCGCCACUGUGAUGUUCUCGUUUCAUGUUUAUUGUUUUAUUAAACAUUUCACCUGCACCUGCUUCUCGACUCACAGCAUCUCCGUUACAAUAGAAAUUAUGGAUGGCCUCUUAUCCGCUCGCCAUUCCCUUAUGCCAUAGUUUUACAUCUCAAUUGUCAGGAGAAACCAUGUUUGUUUAACCAAGUCAGCCAUAUCAGCUACAGCGGUUCUUUAAAAAAAAGUUGCGUCAUACUGCAGCACACCUUGCGGGCUGCCGCAGAAUUCAAUGACACGUUAUUUCAGUGUCAGCCAUUGUUGCCAGUAAUGCUAGUUAGUGCAGAGGGCAUCUUUGAGAAGGAUUUGACAGUUUUUAACAUUGGCUGUACUAGAGAAUUUUAAACCUUUUUUGCAAGAAUAAUUUUAUGAAAUGUAGCUUAAUUUUUUUCAAAUUAUGGUGUUUCUAUUCCACCAAAAAACAAAACCCUCAGUAUUUCCGUUAGGGAAAUAUGGCAAUGUACAACGUGAACGGUUGGGAUUAGGCUACUAAAACCAAAAAUAAUCCUAACAUUUCCACCCCAUAAUUGUAAGGUAACCAAUACCCAAACAGAGUUUCAGGGUGAAAUAAAAAAGACCAGUCCCCAUGCUUGUCUCAGAGCAGCACGAAACGGUGCUGAAAUAGUUGACCACACGUGGGUAGGCUAUUGCUUCAAAUCCUGUUAUAUCAAUUGGAUGGCUUUUGGUGUUCCAGUAAGCAACUAUUUGUUUCAUUCAUUAGCCUACUUUACUGUGAAAAAUGUAUGUUUAACUCUUCCAAGCCUACAAGCAAGAAACUGACGAUAAAACAAUUCAACAAAUACACUGAUCACCUCAGCAAGGUUUUACCUGUGGUGGUGGAACUGGGGGGAAGUGCAACUAAAAGGUAGCAUAGAUGUUCAGUAGUUGAAAUACACAUUUUGGAAGUCUUUUUUAUUAUUAUUUUAACGAAAGCAAAAAGAUGUUGAUGAAAAGAUACUGUGUAAAACUUUAGAGUACUUAAGCAUUGAAUACAUUGCAAAUAUGGGGGAUUUUCACACCUACAGCAGCCAAGGCAAUUAAACUAAUCGAUGGAUAACA